rnacentral:rRNA from 1 species
GAGGAAUAUUGGUCAAUGGGCGAGAGCCUGAACCAGCCAAGUAGCGUGCAGGAAGACGGCCCUAUGGGUUGUAAACUGCUUUUAUGUGGGGAUAAAGUGAGCUACGUGUAGUUUAUUGCAGGUACCACAUGAAUAAGGACCGGCUAAUUCCGUGCCAGCAGCCGCGGUAAUACGGAAGGUCCAGGCGUUAUCCGGAUUUAUUGGGUUUAAAGGGAGCGUAGGCCGUGGAUUAAGCGUGUUGUGAAAUGUAGACGUUCAACGUCUGAAUUGCAGCGCGAACUGGUUCACUUGAGUAUGCACAACGUAGGCGGAAUUCGUCGUGUAGCGGUGAAAUGCUUAGAUAUGACGAAGAACUCCGAUUGCGAAGGCAGCUUACGGGAGCACAACUGACGCUGAAGCUCGAAGGUGCGGGUAUCAAACAGGAUUAGAUACCCUGGUAGUCCGCACAGUAAACGAUGGAUGCCCGUUGUUAGUUCACUUAAGAAUUAGCGACCAAGCGAAAGCAUUAAGCAUCCCACCUGGGGAGUACGCCGGCAACGGUG